GGUCAUUAUGGAAUUAUAGUUCCCUUGCUUAAUGAUUUUACAAAAUUGCUUGGCAAUCCAACAAAGAGAAGGAGCACAAUGUGGUGAAUGCAGGCUAAUUAAACCAAUAAUUGCUUCCUGUUGUGCUCCCAGAUAAUGUGCCCCUGAUAAUUUUAAAUGAAGUCUUGAAGCUGACUUCUUGAAUGAAAUGCUGUGCUAGUUAAAGCUUCACUAACUUUCUGUGUGCUUAGAAACUGGCCUACUUCUCAAGGUCCCUUGCAUUUCUCAGACAAAUAUUGCUAUGGUAUGUGAAGAAUACAAGAAUAACUUUCCUGUAUCUCAGGUAACAGGGCUCUGAAUUUCUGUGUUUUCCCUCUUUGCAGUAGUGUAACUAGAUGGUCUGAUGUCCCCAAACAAUUCUGAAAUUAGAAGCUGUAAAUUAAGCCUUUGGUGUUCAAAGUUCUAUUUCCUUUCUGUUUUAAGACUUAGGAGAAGAUGCAAACUUCUAUGUACCUCAGGAAUGCUAGCUUGAAUCUAGAGUAACUCCAUUGGGAUUUACCACAGCUUUUUGAGUUAUAUCUGUGUCAAAUGCAAAGUAUGUGACUGUUGACUGGCAGCUAUGUUUAGAACUUGGGAAAUAAUUCAUGAAGUCCCCAAGAAUUUCAAGGUGAUCUUCAAAGUGAUCUGAAGAAUAAUUUGGAAACUUUUAAUAUGGAAUUUGGAGGAAGAGUCUUUAGCAGUUAAUCAGGUAUUUUAAGUAGGCAAAGGUAGGAGAAGAAAGGGAGAAGAGGAAAGAAGAUGUUGUGAAGCGACAGAAGAUGGUAUGACAUAAGAGGAUGAACAGAUGUCUUCAAGAUUUACCAGUCAGUUUUGGAAAGGGUUGCUGAUAACUAUCUGGGGACAGAGGUCCAAAUACACAGCAAUGGCCUUCUCCCAUCAGACUCAAAUUGUUUUCUGCGCUACAGAACAAGAAAAGCUCAUUUUGCUUUUGUGUGUGAAUGUCUGCAGUUAGGUAUUGAAGGCAUGAGUCCAUCCUUGAGACUGUGGAGCAUUUAUAGAUAGAGACCCUAUAAUAAAGAUAACAGGAAGUCAAGUAGGUUCUUUCUU
ensembl:lncRNA